GUGCUUGGGAAUGGGAUAGACAACGGACAAUGCGCCGAGGCUGCCAGCUGUAGGCUUUUGCGCGCAGGAGAUGCAGGGGCUCCGUUCCUCGAUCAUUUUUUGAGCAGGGAGGAGCUUAUGACAUUGUGUGCUGUUAUUGAAUAGCCAACUGUAGUAUUUCAACCUCCGCUUCGCUGCUCCGAGAACUCUCCUCUCUCUCGCCUCAUCUGUUGAUUCGCCAGCUCGUCUCCAAGAAUAGGCUACUUAUUACACUAUAUCGCCCAUCUUACCAGGCGUGCAGCAGUGAGACAUGGACGAGGACUUUGAAAGGCGCAGGGAGGCGAGGAGACAGAAGAGAGAGGAGAUGAGGAUGGAGGCCGAAAGGUUUGUGAGGGCGGAUGAUGAUGAUGAGGAGGCAGCUCGGGAGAGGAGGAGGAGAGCGCGACAGGAGAGACUCCGCAGCAUGGAGACCUCUAAUGAUACACCCGAGGUCAACAACACACACAGUGUGUCGGAGGUGAAGGGAGGAGGAGGCGAUGAGGAGGAGGAGCAGGCCCUUCAGGAGCGGCUGUCCAAGAGAGAGGAGAGACGACUGCGGCGCCUGAAGGAGGCACAGGAGCGCCAAACCGAGAUAGAGAGCCCCGCCAGAGACGAGGAGAGGUCCUCCUUCCGUCGUGGCCGCUCCUACGAGCCUGAGCCCGAGCCGGAGCCGGAGCCUGAAGCUGUGGAGCAGGAGGUGCAGGAGGAGGAGGAGGUGGUGGAGGAGGAGGAGGAGGUGCAGCCGACUGUGGAGGAGGAGGAGAGAGAGGAGGAGAAACCCAGACGCUCAUACAGACAGGUGAGCCAGGAAAAUGGAGGUUACCAUGAGGAGGCUUCUCCCAGACACAAGAAGCCAGAGCGGACCACCAGCCGCGGCAGUCUGCGCUCCCCCGAGGCGGGCUCUGCGUCUCCCUCUGAGCUCGGAGGAGGCGGCGGCAGUGCGGAGGACGAGGAGGCCGUGCGGCUGGAGGCCGAGCGCAAACUGGAGGAGCUGAGGAGGAGGCGCGAAGAGACGGAGAGCGAGGACUUUGAACGCAUGCGGCAGAAGCAGCAGGAGGCCGAGGUGGAGCUGGAGGAGCUGAAGAAGAAGAGGGAGGAGAGGCGCAAGGUGCUGGAGGAGGAGGAGAGACAACGCAAACAGGAGGAAGAGGAUCGCAAGGCUCGUGAGGAGGAGGAGAAGAGGAAGAUGAAGGAGGAGAUUGAGCGGAGGAGAGCGGAGGCUGCGGAGAAGAGGCAGAGGGCCGAGGACGGGGAGGACGGAGGAGAGGGCAAGGGCCGCUUCAAGUGCAUCAGCCCCAGAGGGUCCUCCCUCAAAAUUGGAGAGCGUGCUGAGUUCCUGAACAAGUCAGCACAGAAAAGUGCUGUCAAGGCGUCUCACACCCCUGUGGUGUCCAAGAUUGACAACAGAUUGGAGCAGUACACCUCAGCAGCACAGAACAAAGAGUUUCAAUCCCGUUCUGGUGCGAGUGACCUGCCUAUGGUGACGGAUGGCAUUCGCAACAUCAAGAGCAUGUGGGAGAAAGGCAACGUCUUCAACUCCAACAGCCCUGGAGGAGCCACCAACAAGGAUGCAGCUGGGAUAAAAGUGGGCGUGGCAGGGCGCAUCAAUGACUGGCUGAACAAAACUCCUGAGUCAGGAAAAAGCCCCGGAGGAAGACCAGUGGACCUGAAGCCUGGAGAUGUGACUGGCAAACGCAGUUUAUGGGAAAACAUAGGCUCCUCCCCUGCCAAGACCUCUCUUACAUAGUCCUGGAAAGAGGCCAACGAGGUGUCAGGUAGAGGGGAGUGUAAAUCAGUUGCUAAUGGCAUGGGACACUAGUGACACAAAGAACCAACACGAGAAAACUGCACGUCCAUCCCCAUGUCUUUUAUCCACCCAGUGCUUUUUUGUUUAAUUUUCUAUUUUAUUUUUCCAAACCAAAUGACCAAAAAAAAAAGAAAUGAAAUGAACGUGAAGUAAAAGAGAGGGAAGAGCAGAGAUGAUGAGUGGUCGAGACCCGUCUCUGUUUUAACGUGGUCCACGUACAGUAUAAAGGGUGUUGAAUCAAGGAGAGAAGACAAGUAGAGAAAGAGUUUAUACGUUUUAUAUGUAGAGAGAAAGCACUGUGUUAACAGAACCGCAUGAUCAGGCGGUCACCUUUUGGCCGCGAUAACACCAAACAUGGAUUUUACAUUAUGAGGCGGAUUUUUUAUAUUGUUUGUUAAUGAAUUUUCAGCGCAAGGCGGAAUGUGGAUUUUCUGCCUGUCUGCCCAGAGCGGAUUGAGCAGAAAAAAGUUCAACUCAUGACAGAAAAUCCGCCUCACAUCACCGGUGAAUUUCCAGAUGUUUAGCAAUCACUACUGACAAUGUUUGAAAAAAAUCCUGAUCGCAACCAAAAUAUCAAUUACAAGCGUGAGGCAAAUUACAAGAAGAAAUCUGUGUUUGGUAUUAUCAUGGCCUUACAGUGUAGUACCCCCUUUGCACAGGUUUACUUAAGGAAACUAUGCUGUGAAAUCUGGUCACUUUGGAUUUAUGAUUUGAUAUAUAGAUAUGUAUAUUUUAUAUGGAACUUCCAAGCAGAACAAAAAAAAAACAAAAAACAAGUUAUGCCAAAAGGUAAAGAGAACCAUUGGAUAUAUACCUAUAUGAAGACAAUCACAACAUUAUCAUCAAAGUAAUAAUAAUAAUUCUUAAAAUUAUUUAGUUUAGCACAUGCAUUUAAUAGGCCAGAGGUAUUCGUUUUCUGGCCUUAAAUCUCUGGAUCACUCUUUUUUUAUUUAAUUUAUAAGCAAAGCAAAGCUUCACACGUUGAUAUAUAAUAAUUAUUAUUAUUCCUCAUCACCUGUCUAUGGUAUCACUAUGAGCACCCAUAGAGUAGCACGUUGUACCUUCCCGUAUCAUCUAAUCAACACUCGUAAUAGUCGAACAAUGAUGGUCUGAAUAGUAUAUUCAGUGCAUACUGUAUGUUUUUCUGUUUUGUCAGUGGCUAUUACGUUUCUUGUAUCACAGCUUGGUGUUGUAUGCAAGCACUUGAUGUUUGUUGUCGCGAGAACAGUUAUCAGUUAUCAGACAUGUUUUUUCCUUACCAAUAAUCACUUUCUGGAGCAGUGGUAUUUUCCAUAACCACUAUUAAGGAUUCUAUUUUUCUCUUUUGACUUCCUGUUUUUUUUAUUUUUAUUUUUUUACUUUUACUAUAUUUCGUUUUAUUGUUUGUUAUCCUCUGGUGACCACUUCAUUUUGAGCCCCACACAUAGUGGAUUUGUUACAGGGUCUACACCUGACUGAGGGGAAGUAGCACGUCAGAGGGAUGUGGGUCAUUCCAAAGAUUGUUCCACAGGUUGUCUUAGGAUGACCCUAUUUUGGUAUAUCAAAACACAGACGCGUUACCGCGAUGCGAAUGGCAUCAUCUAAUCUCCCAAACUUGCGUGUGCUUGUGGCCUCAUGCUUAAAUAACACCCUGCUUCCCAGCUGUUACCCUAGGCACAACAACAUUUGGGAGACUUCUCCCUUCAACAUCCUGCUUGUAAAUGAAACAAAAAACCUUUGAAAUGUGCUUUAGCGAAAUGGAAAAAACUUGUACCGUCAAUAACGUCUUGCAUCUCAAAGCUGCAAGCACAAGACAAGGACGGGAGGUUAGGCAGUGAGACGGACACACGGGCGUCCUAAACAGGACGUAAAAAAAUGAACAUGUAUGGGGAAAACCGAACGGUUUGUCACCUUAGUCUAUAUACUGUAAACACACAGCCCCUCUAAUUUGUUUGGGGAAAAAAUAAUGCUCUCCACAACAAUGUUCAAAACAUCUAUAGAUUUGAUGGAAUACUAUGGUCAUCACUGUUAACUGCUUUCUAAAACUACAUUCCAAACUACAACUGUACAUUCCAUGGAACCCAGUGUUCAUGUCUAACAUACAACAACUCAACUAGUGUGCUGCUCUAGCAUGACAAACACGCACUCUUGUACCUGAGAAUGAUCAAAUUAAUCUGUCAACUUGGCAGUCUUAUUCCUCAGAGAAGCACUCGUUCAUGCUCUACAGGGCCUCAGAGUACUGUAGCGUAGCACAAAGGAGCAUAUCCUAGUGUGCCAGUGUAGUAAACAGUCUUAACAAAUCAACACCGCAAGCACUCGUCCACACUCAUGCCUCUCUGGGGCCCUAGUAGACAAGUAGCCUAGUGUAGCCAAGUAUAGUCUAGCCUAUCCUAGCCUAGCAUGCCAGUACAGUAAACAGUCUUUGCAAAUUAACACCACAAGUCCGUGCUGUUUGCAAAGAAUUAGCAGACAAUCACAAAGGCGCAGUAGGUCAGAUCUUGGUGGAGGUGUUGACAGCUGGUACCCAAAACAGUGUCUCCAAUCAGCAGUCUUACUGUAAAUCCUUCUUCGCAGGAGAAAAAAAGAAGGGAAUAUCCUGUU